rnacentral:rRNA from 1 species
GAUGAACGCUAGCGGCAGGCUUAAUACAUGCAAGUCGAGGGGCAGCAUGAGUGUAGCAAUACAUUUGAUGGCGACCGGCAAACGGGUGCGGAACACGUACACAACCUUCCUUUUAGUGGGGAAUAGCCCAGAGAAAUUUGGAUUAAUACCCCGUAACAUAGCGAUGAGGCAUCUCAUUGCUAUUAUAGCUUCGGCGCUAGAUGAUGGGUGUGCGUAUGAUUAGGUAGUUGGCGAGGUAACGGCUCACCAAGUCUACGAUCAUUAGCUGAUGUGAGAGCAUGAUCAGCCACACGGGCACUGAGACACGGGCCCGACUCCUGCGGGAGGCAGCAGUAAGGAAUAUUGGUCAAUGGACGAAAGGCUGAACCAGCCAUGCCGCGUGAAGGAUUAAGGUCCUCUGGAUUGUAAACUUCUUUUAUAUGGGACGAAAAAAGGUCUUUCUAGAUCACUUGACGGUACCAUAUGAAUAAGCACCGGCUAACUCCGUGCCAGCCGCCGCCGUAACAC